rnacentral:rRNA from 1 species
UAAUACGUAGGGUGCGAGCGUUAAUCGGAAUUACUGGGCGUAAAGCGUGCGCAGGCGGUGACUCAAGUCAGAUGUGAAAGCCCCGGGCUUAACCUGGGAAUUGCGUUUGAAACUGAGUCGCUAGAGUUUAGCAGAGGGGGGUAGAAUUCCACGUGUAGCAGUGAAAUGCGUAGAGAUGUGGAGGAACACCGAUGGCGAAGGCAGCCCCCUGGGCUAGAACUGACGCUCAGGCACGAAAGCGUGGGGAGCAAACAGGAUUAGAUACCCUGGUAGUCCACGCCCUAAACGAUGUCAACUAGUUGUUGGGAGGGUUUACCUCUUAGUAACGCAGCUAACGCGUGAAGUUGACCGCCUGGGGAGUACGGUCGCAAGAUUA